CUCAUGGCCGCCGGCGAGGGCGCCACGGCCGCCGCAACCACCACCACUAGCAGGGUUGGGCUGGGCCACCACAACGGCCUCGUCGCCAGAUCGUCAUGGAAUAAUGACCAGGUUGGCGCACACGAUCCAAAGGCUGUCAGCGACGAGAAUUGCAGCGCGAAUCCUAGUGAAGGCAACAAUUCGUGGUGGCGGAGCUCCACGGCGGCGGCGGAGAAAGGAAGAUGAAG